rnacentral:lncRNA from 1 species
GAAGUACCACCCACAUAUAUGCACUACACUAUGUGCUGUUUUUAUCUGAGAAAUACGCAUCAAUGCUGCUCCUACCCUAGGAGUACGCAUUCCUUCAUCCAUUGCCAUUAUGUCUUAUUCUACUUAUCCAAUAAAGCUCUAGUUAUUUCAGUUUAUACUCCCUACUACAUUUAUCCGUGCAUUAAAAGGGAUGGCUGAUCUAAAAAAUUAGAAAAGAAAGAAAGAGGAAAAAGGUACCAAUGCAAAAGAAAAGAAAGAUAGCCAAGUCCUUAGUCUUAGAUUAGGGAGGUAUGUUUUACCCAAGGAGCAAAUGUAGAAUUAGAUAUUCACUAUCAGUUAUCACCCCUCAUACCCAC